GCCUACGGCCAUACUACCCUGAACACACCUGAUCUCGUCUGAUCUCAGAAGCUAAGCAGGGUCAGGCCUGGUUAGUAACUUGGCUGGGAGACUGCCUGGGAAUAUCAGGUGCCGUAGGCU